AUCGAGGGAUCUGGCGGCUGGUGCGGCGGCUUGCUCCGGUGGCCGCGGUGUCCUGCUUAUCCAGAGAAACAGGGCAUGAGGGAGAGAGGAAAGAGAUGAAAAAGGAGAAGGAGCAGGGGCGCAAGGUGAGGGAGAGGGAUCUGGCGGGUGGUGCGGGGGGCUUCGGUGGCGGCGGCGUCCUUCUCAUCCAGAGAAAGGGAGAGACAUGGCGUGAGGGAGAUAGGAAAGAGAGGAAGAAAGGAGAAGGAGAGGGGGCGCAAGGUGAGGGAGAUGGUCACCGGUGGUGGCGCCUCCGGUGACCGGCCGGCGGCAGGACCGAUGGUGUCUGGAGUUUUGGACACCUGAGCGAGCUACCCUGCUGCUGCUAAUUCUUCUCUCCCCACGCCUCUGCUGCUGCUCCUUCUACUCCUCAGAUGCCCAUGCUUGCUCUCAAACAAUCAUUGUUGAAGGACUGAAGGGCAUGAUUUCUGGACCACAGAUGAUGCAUUUUAUUGGCAGGCACAAUCAAGGGCCCAUCAUCUUUCUGCUAUAGGUUCAACACAAACAACAGCUAUCUUGUUGAGAUUCAAUUGCUAUUCGGUGGAGAGCAGCCACAAAAAGUUCCUCAAUUGAUGCACAGUGGCCACCGAAAACAGAUCUCGCUUUCAAUCUCUAAUUGAUUCUCAGCUACAGAGUGGCAUGUAUCUAUAGACUUGCUAAUGUGAUGGCUAAUGCAUGUGUAUUAAUUCAUGAAUUAGCAAAAUAUUUCCCGUGAGAUGUGCUAACAUACAAAUUUGAUGUUCACAGUGCCCUCCACUUUUUUUUUGUUAUGCCUAUAAGAGAUGACUUAUUUUCAAUUUUUAAAUAGAAAAGCACAGUAUGGUUGCUCUUAUAUACAGCUCAUAAAAAGGAAUUACAAAUAAGAAGAGUGAUGUGUUCUCCUCAAAACAAAAUUGCUGAAAUUCACAUGCAUGGUGGCGCCAUACAGCGAGCGCAUGGUGGCAGAGUUCACAAGCUAGAUCUCUGACUGGCGUAAUGGCUUGUCCUGAUGCAGAGAAGGACGGGGUUCAAGUUGUUGGGCCAGUGGCAGGGGCAGCAUGAUGUUUUCGUCAGGUAACAACCUAGCCAUCGACUCAAGAUUUAACUGAACCAAUUCCUUUAAUUCAAGCUCCAAAUCGUUGUUAUUUGAUUCACUAAUUGGUUCCUGGCAACAACUAAUUGGACAUAUAAUUGUUGAUUUAUGUACAAACAAUAUCUUCAGUUGUUUUCAGAUCUUCAAUAAGGAUCAUCAAGCCCUCUGUUUUUUAUAUGAAGAAUAGAUAUUGUAAUUGUGCCUCCAUUACGUCUAAAAGUCAGAUAUCGGAAAAAUGUCAUUGGCAUAUCUCUGUCACGAUGGAGGAUUCGUUAGACAGAAAAAGGACCUCUGGUUAUGUAUGACAUGAUGCGAGGCACAUAUCUCUGAAUGAAGCGCAACAAGAAUUGACAUCCUCUAAUGCUAACUGUUGAGCAUUCUUCUCUGAAGUAUCAGAGGUGUGGAUUGGAAUCAGUUUUUUUUGCUGCACCCCCAUUCCGACGAGGUCACGCACACAUACCACUGGGAAUCCCACGAACCCUAUGUUCGAGCGCGAGCGACGGCAAUAGCAUCUGCAAGUACUUGACCAACACGCUACCCGGGUGUGGUAUCCACUAUUGAGGCCAAGCAACCUAGCUCGGUCAUCCUUAAGUGUGUUUGUGUCCACCACCUGAUGAAGAACGGGAGAAGAUUGCUGACUUUGUGCCUAAUGAUGGUUGCCUGAACUUCGUAGAGCAAAUUGACGAGGUGUUGAUUGCUGAAUUUGGUCUUAAGAGGCACGUCGUGGGAGAUAUCCCUUGUGGCAGGUUCAAAGUUGUGAUGGUAUCUGGUGUCUCCCAGCGAGAUUUGUUCCUUCUCUUAACAGUUACUAUUAAGAACAAAUUUAUGUUUCCAGCAAAAAAGUUGGCCGGCCCCAGCAAAAAAAAGAACAGUUCCAGCAAAAAAAGAUCGCCGCCGUGGUCACAGGUGUCAACAAGCAGUCUUCAGAAUCAUCAAUAAGCCAACAGCGAGAAAUAAGUUCAAGAAUUGAGUUCCCUUAACAGGGAAAUAAGGAAGGGAAGAAACAAAUAGGGAACAAUCAGAUGAAGCAUCAAGGAAAAUGGAUUGAACAAUCAGAUGAAGCAUCAAGGAAAAUGGAUUGAACAAUCAGAUGAAGCAUCCAGCUCGAGGAGAAGCAUGGUCUGCAAGGAGACCAAUCAUCUUGAGGUGGUUCUUUCAGCUACUGCAUGUUCCAUUACGGAGAAGGGUACUUAGUCGAUCUUAGGAGCCAGACUCUGCUUUCCUUGCAGGGAGAAUUUCAAUAAAUGGUUGUGUGUCAAACAUCACUUCAUGUUGUAGUCCAUUUUUUCCUUUCAAAAGCCACAUUAUGAAAUUUGGCUUUAUAAGAAGUUUCACUUUAUUAUUAGUGGAGAACGGGAGAUAAGGAAAGGGAAGGGAAAAACAGUAAUUCUAGCAACUAGCCAUUGUUCCGUGGCAAAACACAGGUGUUUGUUCUAUUAUGUCCAUCAGAAAUCUUUACGGAGGAGUUGGGACUGAGUGAGUGACAUAGAUUUGCUUGAGGUCACAAAUUCUUUUCUGCUGUUACUUGCAUCUUACUUGAAUUUUUUUCUUCAAGUUCUUCCUGUUUUCCCAUAUCCUCUGCUCUAUAGAAGCUGCUACAUCAAAUUAAGUAAGUGCAUCCUUCUUUUUUGUCCAAGUUUGUUCUAUUCUAUUACUCAGAAGUCUGUACAAGACUGAGAGAGUGAAGCAUAUUUGCUUGAGAUUUGAAUACUUUUUUUAUGUCGGGUUUGUACGCUAUACAGUUUGAUUAAUGAAAACUGAUAAAAGUAGUGGCAAACACUUGAUUGAGUAAGCUACUGGAUUUUACCAGUAAUACACAGUAGUUUCUUGCAAUAUUAUCUGCAUGACAAGAAACACCCAUAUUUGA